UACGUAGGGUGCGAGCGUUGUCCGGAAUUAUUGGGCGUAAAGAGCUCGUAGGCGGUUUGUCGCGUCUGCUGUGAAAACUCGGGGCUUAACUCCGGGCCUGCAGUGGGUACGGGCAGACUAGAGUGCGGUAGGGGAGACUGGAAUUCCUGGUGUAGCGGUGAAAUGCGCAGAUAUCAGGAGGAACACCGGUGGCGAAGGCGGGUCUCUGGGACGGUACUGACGCUGAGACGCGAAAGCGUGGGGAGCAAACAGG
rnacentral:rRNA from 1 species